CCUACGGGAGGCAGCAGUGGGGGAUAUUGGACAAUGGGGGGAACCCUGAUCCAGCGACGCCGCGUGAGUGAAGAAGUAUCUCGGUAUGUAAAGCUCUAUCAGCAGGGAAGAAGAAAUGACGGUACCUGAGUAAGAAGCCCCGGCUAACUACGUGCCAGCAGCCGCGGUAAUACGUAGGGGGCAAGCGUUAUCACGAAUUACUGGGUGUAAAGGGAGCGUAGACGGUGAUGUAAGUCUGGAGUGAAAGGCGGGGGCACAACCCCCGGACUGCUCUGUAAACUAUGUGACUGGAGUGCAGGAGAGGUGAGCGGAAUUCCUAGUGUAGCGGUGAAAGGCGUAGAUAUUAGGAGGAACACCAGUGGCGAAGGCGGCUCACUGGACUGUAACUGACGUUGAGGCUCGAAAGCGUGGGCCGCAAACCUCACCCUAUAUCCGAUUAGUC
rnacentral:rRNA from 1 species